AUAAUUACCUGCCUCGGGAGAUAUCAUUAUCUCAAAGGUGGUUUUCCCAGGGCGAGGCUUAUCUAUUGCACUCUGGAUGUGCUGACCCCUGCAUUUUCCCAAAAUAUGGGAAUCUGGACUGCAUAGUUUGUGGUACUGGGGGCCUGCAUUCACAUUCUCCAA
rnacentral:snRNA from 1 species